AGACCACACCAUGCCAGGCGAGGAGCCUCUGGCCAGGGGUGCAAGUGGGCAUGUGCCAGGAGCCGCAGGAGCAGAAAAUCAUUGACUAGGGGCGAGGUAGCCUCAACGAUGUUGAAUUUCAGCACAGCCGUGGUGACUGGUGUGAAGUCUUGUUGCUAAAAUCCAGACCCCAUAAUGAAGAUGACAAGAUAAGCUACAAAUUGGAAGAAAAUUUUUGCAUAUCACAUCUCUGACAAGCACCUUCUAGAGAACUCUCAAAAUUUAAUAAUAAAAAACCCCAAUCAAUUCCAAUCCUUUGUGGCCUGUGCUGGUGCGUGCUUCUCACACUCACAUCACAGGAAUGAAAACAAGAGCUGCAAUGGGAGCAUCAGCAGAGAUGGAAUGAUACUCUAUUGCAUCUAUAUAUCACAUUUUCUUUACCAAUUUGUCUGCCAGUGGACAUUUGGGUUGCUUCUACCUCUUGGCUAUUAUGCCUUGGAGAAAUUGGAAAACUCCUAGGGUCAAGACAGGGAGAAUGAAGAACAAGAGUUUUAUUGACUUCAAGAUUGGAGACCUCAAGAGUCAUUGUAAUAUGAUCCCUUAGAGGCCAGGUAGUGUGAGGUCUGACCUCAGCUGGCAUGUAGGCAAGAUUUCAAAAACCAGUGCGAUAACGUCACCCAUUCCCGACUCAAAAUUCUUGCCUACCACGCAGGGGGCAGAACACAGGGAGCCUGGAAGAAACUGACGGUGUAUACUCUGAAGGUCAGCUAUUAUCUGGACACACACAGAGCAAACCUCAAGGUUAGAGAGAUGUGACGUGAGAUUGGGCAUAAACCCCCAGCACAACUCCAGGAGGCGCCAUUCUGAUAUCCUGGGUGCUGGCGCACUUGGAGCAGAGGGAGAGAGGUAUGAUAAUGUGUGAAGAUGAAGGAAGAACAAAGUCUCCAGCCAGGAUGGAACCACAGAAGGCUCAAUUAUUUUUACAUGAGAGUAAUUUGCUCAUUAACCUAUGAAGACUCAAGUUAUUCUUUCAUUCAAAGGAAAUGCUACUGCUGCUACUGCAAAUUAUUUUGACUUCACAGCAUUAUAAAAACAGAUAUUUUAAGGUGAACUGUAGUCUGAUCUCCCAUAAAUAUAGACGGUUCUUCUUUUAAUACACCUAUUUAAA